CAGGAAGUGACUGAUCAAACAGGAAGUGCCCUGCCUAUAAAGGAAGCAGGAAGUUGAGGGUUCCUUCUUUAAUCUUCAAGGCUGCACACAGCAGGCAGCAACAGAAAUUUUUCACUUCUUCUUCAAUCUGGUGAAUAAAUCAAAAGAGUCACUAACAUCCUGACUCACUCAUCGUUGAAUGGAGUUUGUCUGACUGUUAACCUACCUGCACCAAACACGUGGAGGACUGUACACACACCUGUGGAGGAUGUAGAGGACCAGCUCUUUGCUUCCUGCACUGGCAGCGUGAUGACGUGAACUGCAGCCGGACGAGUCGAGUGAGGUGAGGUGGGCUCCCUUCAGGUGGGGCUCCCUUCAGGUGGGGCUCCCUCCAGGUGGGGCUCCCUUCAGGUGCGGCUCCUGCAGCUGAUGAUUCAAUUCAAAGACACAUGUACUGGAGUCUAUGUGAUGCAGAAUGGACACAGCAGUAGUUACUUUCCAAAAAAACAGUCCCAAUGUGACAUGAUAACAAAGGGCAGCCUGACCAAAACAAGAUGACGAGCUGUUAGCAUGUGUGCUACACCACGCUGCUUCACCUGCUUCAUUCAACAUUUGGUGUUUCCUCGCUCUGAAGAGUAGGAUCUGUGCUUUAACUGGAAGGAGUUUCUUCGGAUUAAAGUUUACCUGUUAGCCCUUGUUUUUUUUAUCUUUCAGCUAUAGUUUGGUUUAAUUUUCAUUUGUAGUUCUCUCUGAAGACACUUUGAUAAUAAAAUGUUCAAGUCUU